GCGCCCGUAGCUCAAUUGGAUAGAGCAUCAGACUACGAAUCUGAGGGUUGGAAGUUCGAGUCUUUCCGGGCGCGCCA
rnacentral:tRNA from 3 species